rnacentral:rRNA from 1 species
UACAGAGGUCCCAAGCGUUGUUCGGAUUCACUGGGCGUAAAGGGUGCGCAGGUGGCGGCGCGCGUGGGGGGUGAAAUCGCCCGGCUUAACUGGGCGGGGGCCUUCCAGACGGCGUGGCUUGAGCAGCGGAGGGGGACGUGGAAUUCCGGGUGGGGCGGUGAAAUGCGUAGAGAUCCGGAGGAACACCGACGGCGCAGGCAGCGUCCUGGCCGCUUGCUGACACUGAGGCACGAAAGCUGGGGGAGCAAACAGG